rnacentral:rRNA from 1 species
AACGAACGCUGGCGGCGUGCCUAACACAUGCAAGUCGAACGAGACCUUCGGGUCUUUGGGCGCACGGGUGCGUAACGCGUGGGGAGCUGCCCUUGGGUUCCGAAUACCUCCCCGAAAGGGGUGCUAAUGCCAGUUAGUGUCUUCGGACCAAAGAUUUAUUGCCGUUGUAUGGGCGCGGGUGGGAUUCGGUUGUUGGUAGUGUAAUAGCAUAUCAACGCGACGAUCCAUAGCUGGUGUGAGACGAGGAUCAUCCACACUAGGACUGCGACACGGCCCAGACUCCUACGCGAGGGAGCAGUGGGGAAUAUUGGAGAAGGGGGGAAGGCCUGAUCCAGCAAUGCCCGGUGAGUCAUGAUGGCCUUAGUGUUCUAAAGCUCUUUUACCCGGGAUGAUAAUGACGGUACCGGGUGAAUAAGCUCCGGCUAACUCCGUG